AUUGAACGCUGGCGGCAUGCCUUACACAUGCAAGUCGAACGGUAACGCGGGGCAACCUGGCGACGAGUGGCGAACGGGUGAGUAAUGCAUCGGAACGUGCCCGGUAGAGGGGGAUAACUGCUCGAAAGAGCAGCUAAUACCGCAUACGACCUGAGGGUGAAAGGGGGGGACCGCAAGACCUCUCGCUAUCGGAGCGGCCGAUGUCGGAUUAGCUAGUUGGUGGGGUAAAGGCCUACCAAGGCGACGAUCCGUAGCUGGUCUGAGAGGACGACCAGCCACACUGGGACUGAGACACGGCCCAGACUCCUACGGGAGGCAGCAGUGGGGAAUUUUGGACAAUGGACGCAAGUCUGAUCCAGCCAUGCCGCGUGCGGGAAGAAGGCCUUCGGGUUGUAAACCGCUUUUGUCAGGGAAGAAAUCUUCUGAGUUAAUACCUCGGGAGGAUGACGGUACUUGAAGAAUAAGCACCGGCUAACUACGUGCCAGCCGCCGCCGUAAGAC
rnacentral:rRNA from 1 species